UACAGAGGUCUCAAGCGUUGUUCGGAUUCAUUGGGCGUAAAGGGUGUGUAGGUGGCGCCGUAAGUCGGGUGUGAAAUUUCGGAGCUUAACUCCGAAACUGCAUUCGAUACUGCGGUGCUUGAGGACUGGAGAGGAGACUGGAAUUCAUGGUGUAGCAGUGAAAUGCGCAGAUAUCAGGAGGAACACCAAUGGCGAAGGCAGCUCGCUGGGACGGUACUGACGCUGAGGCGCGAAAGCGUGGGGAGCAAACAGG
rnacentral:rRNA from 1 species